rnacentral:rRNA from 1 species
GACGUAGGGUGCAAGCGUUGUCCGGAUUUACUGGGCGUAAAGAGCGCGUAGGCGGUCUGUUAAGUGUAGAGUGAAAUCUCCAGGGCUCAACCCGGAAACUGCUCUGCAUACUGGCAGACUGGAGGGACUGAGAGGUGAAUGGAAUUCCUGGUGUAGCGGUGAAAUGCGUAGAUAUCAGGAGGAACACCCAUGGCGAAGGCAGUUCACUGGCAGUCUCCUGACGCUGAGGAGCGAAAGCGUGGGGAGCGAACAGG